GUCAACAGAGCGGAGGUGGAGAACGCCUGCCCCAACCUCCGCCGGGACCCCGGGCCAGGGCUCGCCUGUUGAUCUGGGAGACGUAUUGCUUCAUCUCCUUCAGGGCCACGUCCAGCCUGGUGAAGAGCUGCAGGUUACUGCAAGAAGAAAGUUUCAGUCUGGUGCUAAUAUGCUUUAAACUACUGGGAUCAUUUUCCUGCCUGGAAUGCAGAUGUGAUGGCUGGAACUCCAGCAGACAUACUCUACCAUGAGGCAUCCUGAAGGCCAAGAGCCAUCUCUAGAGAAGAUGGCACAGAAAGAGGAGCCUGGCUUCCUGAUGACCAUGAAGCCGCCACUGUAGCCUGGACUGCCCACCUUGAGACGUCUUCUGUUCUAGCAUCUAGGGUGCAAGAUCUGAACACACUUUCUAACAGACACAGGCAGGUACCUUGCUCCGGGUCAAGGCCGAUGAGGGAGGGUUUGCGGCCAAAGCGGAUGCUGAAGGACCUGCCAACCGAGGGGGUGGUCUUGGGGUAGGACACUUCCAUGAGGUUGAUGUGGCAAUUGGUGGGGCAGAAGUCCAGGCCACACAGUGGAUGGGGCUCCAGGGGUGCUUGUUUGAAGGGUGGGCUGACCCUGCUCUUCAGCUGGGCUGCAAACUGGGAAAGGUAGAGGACAGGGGUCGUGAGUCAGGGGUCAAGGUCUGGAAAUUCUGGCCCAACCCAGAACCCACUUUACCCUGGCCUAGGCCAGAUGUUCCAAAAUUGGACAAAACGCCAACAGCUCCCAGUGGAAAAGUGCAUGUCCCUGUGCUGUCUUUCACUGGCCCACACCUCAGGGAGGGCCUGGAGGAAUCUGAGGCCUCUGAGAACUCAUCUCAUUCAUUUCUCCAUUUCGGCUGUGCCUGAGCUGUCCUUAAGGCACUGUCUCUCCCGCCCCUCAGAUCAUGAAGUUCAGGUCCCACAGUGACUGGGACCGGGCCAGGCAAGUGACCCAAGCCAAGCCAAUAAGAGCCUCCUUCAAGUUAAUUUUUUACUGGGGUUGCUAAGGCUAGAGCUACUGAGGGCCGUCCUGUCACGCCAUGAGAAGGGCCUGCCCAAGAGUGAAGCCAACACAAAGGAAAACAAAGUCAGGAGAUGGAGAGAGGCCACAUUCCUAUGACACUGUGACAUCUGUUUAGCACCAGGAUACAGCCAGGCCUGAAGUUCACCUCUGCACUUUUCCAUAAUAUAAAUGAAUAAAUUCUGUUUGUUUAUGCUA